UACGUAGGGGGCUAGCGUUGUCCGGAAUCAUUGGGCGUAAAGAGCGCGUAGGCGGCCAGAUAAGUCCGGUGUGAAAGUCACAGGCUCAACCUGUGAAUGCCGCUGGAAACUGUCUGGCUAGAGUCCGGGAGGGGCGAGUGGAAUUCCUGGUGUAGCGGUGAAAUGCGCAGAUAUCGGGAAGAACACCUAUGGCGAAGGCAGCUCUCUGGGACGGUACUGACGCUGAGGCGCGAAAGCGUGGGGAGCAAACAGG
rnacentral:rRNA from 1 species